rnacentral:snoRNA from 1 species
GGAUCGAUGAUGAGUCCUCUAUAAAACAUCUCCUUGAAAAGCUGAACAAAAUGAGUGAGAAUCAUACCGGUCAGCUCUCAUCGGAUCUGAGGUCC